AUCGCUUCUCUGCCUUUUGGCUAAGAUCAAGUGUAGUAUCUAAUAAGCCCACAGGUCAUAAUGUUGUAUUUUAAUCUUGUUUUUAAGUUGUAUUUCAA